rnacentral:rRNA from 1 species
AGUGAACGCUGGCGGUAGGCCUAACACAUGCAAGUCGAACGGCAGCACAGUAAGAGCUUGCUCUUACGGGUGGCGAGUGGCGGACGGGUGAGGAAUACAUCGGAAUCUACUUUUUCGUGGGGGAUAACGUAGGGAAACUUACGCUAAUACCGCGUACGACCUACGGGUGAAAGCAGGGGAUCUUCGGACCUUGCGCGAUUGAAUGAGCCGAUGUCGGAUUAGCUAGUUGGCGGGGUAAAGGCCCACCAAGGCGACGAUCCGUAGCUGGUCUGAGAGGAUGAUCAGCCACACUGGAACUGAGACACGGUCCAGACUCCUACGGGAGGCAGCAGUGGGGAAUAUUGGACAAUGGGCGCAAGCCCGAUCCAGCCAUACCGCGUGGGUGAAGAAGGCCUUCGGGUUGUAAAGCCCUUUUGUUGGGAAAGAAAAGCAGCAGGUUAAUACCCCGCUGUUCUGACGGUACCCAAAGAAUAAGCACCGGCUAACUUCGUG